GCCAGUGUAGCUCAGUUGGUAGAGCAGGCGCUUCGUAAGCGUCAGGUCGUCGGUUCAAUUCCGACCACUGGCU
rnacentral:tRNA from 1 species